UACGGAGGGGGCUAGCGUUGUCCGAAGUUACUGGGCGUAAAGCGCGCGUAGGCGGGUUGGUAAGUCCGCUGUGAAAGCCCGGAGCUCAACUCCGGAGGGUCGGUGGAUACUGCCAGUCUUGAAGGUGCUAGGGGGAGAUGGAAUUACCGGUGUAGCGGUGAAAUGCGUAGAUAUCGGUAGGAACACCAGUGGCGAAGGCGGUCUCCUGGGGGCAUUUCUUGACGCUGAGGCGCGAAAGCUGGGGGGAGCAAACGGGG
rnacentral:rRNA from 1 species